CCCGGUAGUUCCGGAUCUGCGUCUCCUGUGAGAUCCCUGCGCGCCGCUCGUUCCCCCGCCGGCCUCGGUACGCUGGCAGGUCUCACCGACGCCCGUCGGCCAGGACUGCGGUGGCGGUGGCGGGGCGCCACUAUCGACGUCUCAGGCGCCGGCGGAUCGGCCUCUGGCUGUUCCGCGGUGAGAUCUUUUGAACCGUCCGGGUGCUGUUUUCCUCCUCUGACCUCUCGGUCGGCCCUCUUCACAAGCUCCGGCGAGAUCUUGGGACGCAUCCGUACGGGGAUCGCGGUUCACGGGAAGGCCGACGAGGAGUUCCUGGCUCGUACGAGACCCUGAAUCUCCGAUCCUGUUCAAAAGCGACGAACCAAACGCCGAAACGCGUACUGCCGUACUCCUAGUGCCUUCGUUGCAAAGCCUCUGACCGGUCGUUCCGCCGACACACCGGUGGAAUUCCAGACUGAAGUCAGAGAAAAGGCGCCGAUGAAUCGUGCUUCCUCGUCUUCAGAUGGGCACCUUUUUUCCUCGAGGAGUUGCAGACGACCACAGCUCUCUCCUCGUGGAAUCAUAGUCGCACAGGGAGAUCAUCCAGGCUUCUUUGGUAAUCCAUUACUGAACCCCGUCACAUUACCCAAACCUAAGCUAUUACCACUAGCCACUGGUCCAGUGACAGACCGAAGGAAAGAUGCCAUUGUCAUCGUCCUGCUGGAGUCUGGUGCCAUGGACAACGUCUGCCGAUUACUAAACUCCGAAGCGGCCACUUGGCAGGUGGCAGGUUUGGCGCUCCCUACGUCGCCAUGUACACUCGUGGCUGCAGAGGUAUCAGGUAUCACGGUACACGGUAUCGGUAUCCA